GAUUAUGGCUCAGGACGAACGCUGGCGGCAUGCUUCAUACAUGCAAGUCGAACGAUAAGGUCUCUUCGGAGAUACAUAAGUGGCGGACGGGUGAGUAAUAUGUAGGAAAUCUGCCCUUGAGAGGGGGACAACAGAGGGAAACUUCUGCUAAUACCCCAUAUGAGCGUACCUGAAAUGGUAUUCUUGAAAACUCCGGUGCUCAAGGAUGAGCCUGCAUCUGAUUAGCUUGUUGGCGGUGUAAUGGACCACCAAGGCGACGAUCAGUAGCUGGUUUGAGAGGAUGAUCAGCCACAAUGGGACUGAGACACGGCCCAUACUCCUACGGGAGGCAGCAGUAGGGAAUUUUGCGCAAUGGGCGAAAGCCUGAACCGCAGCAAUGCCGCGUGAACGUAGAAGCCCUUCGGGGUGUAAAGUUCUGUCAGUGGGGACGAAUUUUGACGGUACCCACAGAGGAAGCACCGGCUAACUCCGUGCCAGCCGCAGC
rnacentral:rRNA from 1 species